GAAAGCCUGAUCCAGCAACGCCGCGUGAGGGAUGACGGCCUUCGGGUUGUAAACCUCUUUCAGCAGGGACGAAGCGCAAGUGACGGUACCUGCAGAAGAAGCACCGGCCAACUACGUGCCAGCAGCCGCGGUAAUACGUAGGGUGCGAGCGUUGUCCGGAAUUAUUGGGCGUAAAGGGCUCGUAGGCGGUUUGUCGCGUCAGGAGUGAAAACUCGGGGCUUAACUCCGAGCCUGCUUCUGAUACGGGCAGACUAGAGGUAUGCAGGGGAGAACGGAAUUCCUGGUGUAGCGGUGAAAUGCGCAGAUAUCAGGAGGAACACCGGUGGCGAAGGCGGUUCUCUGGGCAUUACCUGACGCUGAGGAGCGAAAGUGUGGGGAGCGAACAGGAUUAGAUACCCUGGUAGUCCACACCGUAAACGUUGGGCGCUAGGUGUGGGACUCAUUCCACGAGUUCCGUGCCGCAGCUAACGCAUUAAGCGCCCCGCCUGGGGAGUACGGCCGCAAGGCUA
rnacentral:rRNA from 1 species